rnacentral:tRNA from 1 species
CUUAAUUAGUUUAAAUAAAAAAAAUGAUAAAUUGUGGAUUUAUAGAUGAUUAGGAUUCAUUAAGUA